AUGGAGGACGGCAGCGGCGGCGCCGGCGCCGGCGGUGAGGGGAGCACGAGCGGGGGGAGGUUCCCGAUACUGCAGGCGAACCGGGACCCGGAGUCGAACUGGGAGGUGGACGUCGCCAAGAGCCUCGAGGAGUACCUCCUCAAGAUCUGCUCAGGCGAGAUCUCCGCCGAAGACGGGGCCCACAGCUUCAACUUCGCCGAAGCUGCGCUAUUGCUCCAAGGUUCAGUUCAAGUUUACAGCCGCAAGGUGGAGUACCUGUACUCAUUGGUGCUACAUGCGCUGGAAUUUCUCUCGCAAAAUAAGCAAGAUCAACAAGAAAAGGGAUCUGCUGAAGCUAACGAAAAUGGUCCUAGCACUACUGCCAACAAAGAAGAUGAUAUGUUUAUGGGUUUAGAUGAUGUCCCAGCGGAAACAAGGACCACUUUGGAUAACAACCUUGACCAGGAUGAUCUGCGAAGAAAAAUUGUGAGGCCACCAGCAAAUCUUCUAGUGUUCGAAGGAGACUGUGUCGAUAGCGAAGCAAGCGAACUGGAUUCAUAUUUGUUAGCAACAUGUGGUUUCUUCGGAGAUUUCCUCCUGCUGGAUCCAUGUGACGCACCAGCUGUUUUUGAAUUUUUGCAAGGAAAAAAAUCAUGCAAAGAAGAUAUUUUGGCUCAUAGACGAACUCCUGGGAAAGCCCGAAACAAUGUCUUCACUUCCCCAAAUGUAAGAUCAGGGGGUACUGCUCGUAGACGAACUCCAGGGAAAGCCCGAGAUGAAAAUAUAGAUCCAACUCAGGACAGCGAGCAAUCUCAUGAAAUGAUAGCAGAUCAAAGUCAAGAAGAUAGCUGGCCUCAUCAUCCUGUUGACCACAAUUCUCCUAUCAUCAUGCCCCCACCAGAUGAUGAAGACCCUGGGUGCCCAGAUCUUGGGGAUGAUUCUGAUGAUGAAGAUCCAUAUAAAUCUUUGGAUCCGCAUGAACCUAGCAACCUAAAGAUCAAGCCUUACAAGAGAGUAAAAGCUUUUUCAAGGCAAGUUAUUGGCGCUCCAAAGAAGAAAACCCUUGCAUCUAUAUUUCCUGUGGCAAAAAUGGAUGGUGUUGUUAGUCCUGAACUAACAAAAUAUUUUGAAGUACAAAUGUCUCAGCAGGAAAAACCUGAUGUCUCCCAGUCAGUUCCUCUUUAUGAAAAGCUUAGAGAGUCAUUUGAAACUGGUGAAGUAAAUUGCCAUAUAUCUGGAGAUUUGAAGGAUGACAAACAGACCAAUAAUUUUGAUGAUAUUGAUGGGCCAGACACCCCGAAUGAUCCAUAUGUUGACAUGGAUAUUGAUGAUGACAUGCCAAGUUACUCAGAUAAGAUUGAUGAUGACGUGGUUCGAGUUACGCAGGACAGCAUGGAUGGACAUAAAAGCCUUGAUGAUUUGUGUCGAUCACAUCUGGAUGCUCUCCUUGCUAGCAUAGCUGAGGCUGAACAACAAACCGAGCUGGAUGCACGAGUUUCAACAUGGAAAGAGCGAAUAGAGCUUGCCUUGGAAGAGCAGGAUAGAAACCCACCCUUUGAUAUUGGUUUAUAUGGAGAGCAGAUCCUUGACACACUCUCGUCAAGAACUGAUACAGGGAUUGCAUCAUUCAGUGAGAUUGUUAGCAGCAAACCAAAGUACGAGGUUGCAAGAACAUUCUCUGCCCUUCUCCAGCUGGUGAACGGCAGAAGUGUUGAUCUGGACAAAGGACAAGCUACAAAUGACUUGGUUUGCUACACAGCUGUGAAUCCAUUCCAUGUAAAGCUGAUUGGUCCCAACCGUAGACCAGAGAUGGAGGCACGUUUCGCACGCAAGAGAGUCAAGUCCCCUCAAAGAAGUUGUGGUGAAGAGGGCGAGCCCUCUCGGGUACAACCAAAUUCGUCUAAGAAGCAGCCACCUAAAAAUGGCAAGGUUUCAGUUAAGGCAGCAGUCAGAUUGACUCCUGAAGGAAAGCGAAGGCGAAAGUCUGCUCAACUGCUGCAGCCAUUCAAUCUGGAAUCCAGCUGA
rnacentral:rRNA from 1 species